ensembl:ncRNA lncRNA:CR44589 long non-coding RNA:CR44589
UGCGCGGUAAACAAAAAAACUGAAAUCGCCAAACAUAUUAUUUCGCCUUGUUCAUUUAUUUUAAUAAUUUAAGAACUUUUAAGCAUACACACGUUCCUGAGUGGUUACAUAACACACACCCACCUUGGCCCUCCGCAAACGACCAUCAAAGUGCAUUUACCCUGCAUUUGUUUCUCCACCCAAUAAAUAUAGAAUUAAAUGCAUCAUAUGUUCUGGAUACACUGCUCAAAAUUUGUUU